CGAGGACGAACGCUGGCGGCGUGCUUAACACAUGCAAGUCGAACGGUGACCCAGGGCUUGCCCUGGUGAUCAGUGGCGAACGGGUGAGUAACACGUGGGCAACCUGCCCCUGACUUCGGGAUAACUCCUCGAAAGAGGAGCUAAUACCGGAUACGACCACUUCGGACAUCCGAUGGUGGUGGAAAGUUUUUCGGUCAGGGAUGGGCCCGCGGCCUAUCAGCUAGUUGGUGGGGUAAUGGCCUACCAAGGCGACGACGGGUAGCCGGCCUGAGAGGGCGACCGGCCACACUGGGGCUGAGACACGGCCCAGACUCCUACGGGAGGCAGCAGUGGGGAAUAUUGCGCAAUGGGCGAAAGCCUGACGCAGCGACGCCGCGUGAGGGAUGAAGGCCUUCGGGUUGUAAACCUCUUUCAGCAGGGACGAAGCGAAAGUGACGGUACCUGCAGAAGAAGCACCGGCUAACUACGUG
rnacentral:rRNA from 1 species